rnacentral:rRNA from 1 species
CCCUUAGAUGUUCUGGGCCGCACGAGCGCUACACUGAUGCAUUCAACGAGCCUAUCCUUGACCGACAGGUCCGGGUAAUCUUUGAAUCUGCAUCGUGACGGGGAUAGAUUAUUGCAAUUAUUAAUCUUCAACGAGGAAUGCCUAGUAGGCGCAAGUCAUCAGCUUGCGUCGAUUACGUCCCUGCCCUUUGUACACACCGCCCGUCGCUCCUACCGAUUGGGUGUGCUGGUGAAAUGUUCGGAUCGGCCGUUUGUCGCGGUUUCCGCGUCAUGUGGCUGAGAAGUUCAUUAAACCCUCCCACCUAGAGGAAGGAGAAGUCGUAACA